rnacentral:lncRNA from 1 species
GCGACGUCCCACGGUGCCAGCACGCUUCCGCACGCCCAUAGACUCGACCUUGCUGUCAAAUGCGACAAAAUCCGACGACGCCAUAGGCUCAAAACCAAUUGAAGUCGAGUGAACUUCACUAUCGAACGCCGACGGAGAGAUAGCGGCACCGCCGACGGAGUCCAUCAUGGAGCCGGAAUCUUCGAGCCAUCUUCGAGCCAGAGCGGCCGGUGAAUGGAGAGAUCGCCACCGCAAUAGAGGUCCGGAUCGUGGAUCCGAACGCAGGGCGCCGCGAAUCGUGCCGAUUCUGCUAGGCAUGGCUCGCCGUCAGAGGCACGGUGAAGGAAGAGGCAGAGGCGGCGGCAGGAGAAGAUGGGGAUAGGAGUUUCGAUAGGCCGGGAGGAGAGAUCGACAUAGAGGAGAGUUCGCGGACGGGCGGUGUGAUAGAGGAGACGGGCGCGAAGAAGGUACGAGAAGAGGAAGGAGGAAGGAAAAAAUAAUAAAAUAUUAUUUUUUAAAAUAAUAAAAAAUAUAAUAUAUAAUAAAUAAAUAAAAUAUUAAAAAAACAUCAUGUGCAGUAUAUGAAGUUAUAAACUAGUAAUAAAAUAAAUUAAGGAGCAA